rnacentral:rRNA from 1 species
CUUUCGGGGUGGAUUAGUGGCGAACGGGUGAGUAACACGUGGGCAAUCUGCCCUUCACUCUGGGACAAGCCCUGGAAACGGGGUCUAAUACCGGAUAACACUCUGUCCUGCAUGGGACGGGGUUAAAAGCUCCGGCGGUGAAGGAUGAGCCCGCGGCCUAUCAGCUUGUUGGUGGGGUAAUGGCCUACCAAGGCGACGACGGGUAGCCGGCCUGAGAGGGCGACCGGCCACACUGGGACUGAGACACGGCCCAGACUCCUACGGGAGGCAGCAGUGGGGAAUAUUGCACAAUGGGCGAAAGCCUGAUGCAGCGACGCCGCGUGAGGGAUGACGGCCUUCGGGUUGUAAACCUCUUUCAGCAGGGAAGAAGCGAAAGUGACGGUACCUGCAGAAGAAGCGCCGGCUAACUACGUGCCAGCAGCCGCGGUAAUACGUAGGGCGCAAGCGUUGUCCGGAAUUAUUGGGCGUAAAGAGCUCGUAGGCGGCUUGUCACGUCGGAUGUGAAAGCCCGGGGCUUAACCCCGGGUCUGCAUUCGAUACGGGCUAGCUAGAGUGUGGUAGGGGAGAUCGGAAUUCCUGGUGUAGCGGUGAAAUGCGCAGAUAUCAGGAGGAACACCGGUGGCGAAGGCGGAUCUCUGGGCCAUUACUGACGCUGAGGAGCGAAAGCGUGGGGAGCGAACAGGAUUAGAUACCCUGGUAGUCCACGCCGUAAACGUUGGGAACUAGGUGUUGGCGACAUU